UGGCUCCAGUAUAUGUGAAGUAUUUUUCCUUCUCAAAAAUCGACGAUAAAUAGUAGUUUAAUCGAGCGAAAGUUAUUCGCAAGUGAUACAUUGACUGAUUGUGGGUAAGCGUAAGGUGUUAUUUAGCGUAUCCGCGGUGGGGCCAGUGAGCAUAAGGGUGGCGAAAAAAGUUUCCUUCUGCGAGUGGUACAACACACACCUUUUCGGUGGGCAAAUAUUAAUUCUUUUGGGGUCGGUUGUCCAACGAAGCCAGUGUGGUUCUGUGAAGGGUGGCGAGCGGCGAUGCGGCCGUUUUGGUGUGGAAAAAAAAGAAAUAAAUAAAUGGGUGGCGAUGGUUUGUGUUCGUUGCGUUUCCCGUAGCCUGACGACCGCCUGCUAGGACAGGAAAAGAAGAAGACGGUGUCGGUCAGCAGCACAGCGAGGUAGAAGAAGCAGCAAAAAGUGAGAAGAAAAAAAAACGCAAAGAAUCGGAAACGACGUAAAAGAAGUCCGAAACAGAGCACAAAAAUCGCUCCGAGCUUCCCGUGUGGUGCGCGGUGAAGUAGCUUGCGGUUGGUAGUCGCGUAUUGUAGCGACACUUACUCUACGCACGCCAUUGCCACCGCUAUCGCCACUUCCGCCCGUGGCUAGUGGGCUGUACAAAAUAAAAUCGAGCGUCUCGGGCCAGUGAAGAACGUGAAAAAGUUGUCAUUAAUUUCUUCGUGCACCAAAGCGCGCUAUCCAAACGUUCGACUGCUCCCGCGGAUUAUCCGGAAGUUUCGUCCAGUUCCUUCAUUCCUGAUCCGCGCGACUGCAAAACUGCGCAAACAUCCAACGCGCGAGUUUGGUGUCGUUCACACACCGACGACCUGGUUGGUGCCAAAGCAGCGCAUUGAUGCGUGUACAUGAGUGACAAGUUCAAGCGGCAUAAAAGUAUACCAGUCCCGAAUUUUCGAUUAGUGCGCUGUGAAUAAUCCCCGUCCCUGAGUCGCUCGCUCACAUGCCCAUAAAAACGGGGAGGCACAACUACAGGCAGUCAAUUUGACAGAAAAAGAACUGUCAGCGGGGUUGCAUAAUUGCAUCGAGAUUCUAUCGACGUGCAAGCAGCCGUGUCCCAUUGCGUUGCGAGAGAAAUCACCAACACAUCGACGGCGGCGAAUUGUUUGUCGAUCGUGAGCAGAUCGUUUCUGUUCCGUGCUGCUGUCUCCCGAUCGCAGAUUGUCGUACGUGCGUACAGAGAGAAGAAAAAAACAAUUUGGGUGGGUAAAUGUCAACAGAAAAUUGAACAACAACGCCCCUCCGUGCAUC